GUGGCUCCCAUCUUAGAAAUCAAGAAACUAAGCUCAGGAAUUAAGUGUCUUGGCUCAUGUCAACAUCGGAUAUUUGUACCUGAGUCCCUCUGGACUACAAAGCCCAUCUUUUAUACUGACUCUACUACGCUUCCUCUAACUCUAUAGAUGGGUUCAAUUCCUGCCUCUGGCACUUAUUGGCUGGAUAAGUUUGGGCGCCAUGCUGUGAGGCAACCCAGAUCACAUUAAGAGGCCACAAGUAGUGUUCCAACCGACAGACCCUGCUGAGGUCCCAGCUGACGGCCAGCAUCAACUGCCAGACAAGUGAGUGAAGACAACUCUCACCCUAGCCAUCAUCUAACUGCAACCACAUAAGAGACCUUGGGCAAGAGCUGCCUGGCUGAGCACAGUCCAUCCCCAAAACAUGAGAGAUAAUAACGGAGUGACUGUUGUUCUGAGCCACUAGGUUUUGGGGUGAUUUGUUGCACAGCAAUAGAUAAGGAGAACACUGUUGUGCCCCCUGUGGUCAUGUAAGGACAACAAAUCGCCAGAAAUAAAAAAGCCCUCCUAGUGGGUGGUCCUGAAUA